rnacentral:rRNA from 1 species
AGCGAACGCUGGCGGCAGGCUUAACACAUGCAAGUCGAGCGGGCAUCCUUGUGGUGUCAGCGGCAGACGGGUGAGUAACGCGUGGGAACGUGCCCUUCGGUUCGGAAUAACUCAGGGAAACUUGAGCUAAUACCGGAUACGUGCGAGAGCAGAAAGGUUUAUCUGCCGAAGGAUCGGCCCGCGUCUGAUUAGCUAGUUGGUGAGGUUAUGGCUCACCAAGGCGACGAUCAGUAGCUGGUCUGAGAGGAUGAUCAGCCACACUGGGACUGAGACACGGCCCAGACUCCUACGGGAGGCAGCAGUGGGGAAUAUUGGACAAUGGGGGCAACCCUGAUCCAGCCAUGCCGCGUGAGUGAUGACGGCCUUAGGGUGGUAAAGCUCUUUUCUCCGGGACGAUAAUGACGGUACCGGAGGAAUAAGCCCCGGCUAACUUCGU